rnacentral:lncRNA from 1 species
CCAAUUUCCUUAAGUUUAUAACUCAACUAAUUUUUGAGUGUAUGCUUGACGGUCAUUGUUAUUUACACAUUAAACUAUAUUUGGGAGUGACAAACAUAAUUAACAGAGGUUUUAUAGGGAGAGGAAAGUUUAAAAGAGGACACAAAUAGAUAUCAAAAUAUCCAAUAAAGAAACGGUUAUAGACUUUUUUACCUAAUGAAAAUAAGACAAUGUAGAAAUGAGGUGAAAAAAGCCCAAAAGGAGAAAAAAGAUAAGUGACUUUCUUAGCCAAAGUUCCUAUUAAUAAGCAUUUCAAUCUGCCUCCUUUUAUCUGUCUAAAUCUAAAUAGUAGCGAAAAUCAAACAUACCAAAACAAUAUAAGAAGCAACUAUAAUUUAACAUAUUUUAGUAGUCUGUUUGAGAAAAAAAAUUACUGCAAUAUUCGACAAUUGAUCAUAAGACUCUCCAUCAUCUUCUUUUGAAUUUACUCAACUGAUUCUCUACAUUCUUCCUCUGUAACCUUCUUCAUCCCGAUUCAUAAAUUGUUAGAUGGCCCUUAAACACCUGAAAUCAUACCCUGUAAUUUUUAUGUGACCUAAAAUAAAGGGGGAAAAGGAAAAAAUAUUCUUAUAGUUUAAUUAAUUACUAUUUACCACUUUUAUGUGACCCAAAAUUAAAGAAAAAAAGAGAGAGAACAAUCUUAGAAUUUAAUUAACCAUACCUUGAUAGACAAUGUGAAUUAUUGGUUUUCAGUUGCUGUAAAACUCUGAUGGAGUAUGAGUGUUUCUUAGAAUUGGUCUGCAUAAAGUAGACACAUUAAAGAAAUAUUUUGUGUUGAGUAUAUCUGAUCAAACACACCUAAAAUUAAAAAGAAAAAAAAUAUUCCUACCAUGGGUUCUUUGCAGCUUGUCCGAUCCAACCAUGGUUCUCAUGAGUGAAAGAAAAUCACGAUACAGUGAUUUUACUUCAUUUUCUGUCCCACCAUUACCUAUACGAAGGUAAAAACUUCACCGAAUAUGGAUUCUUAUAAAUGAGAUUAUUUAGGCAUUAGUGGACAAUAGGAACGAAUCAAUUUAUCAAAACGGUGCAUUCGCCAUAUGAAACGUUUUGUCGUAAUAAAAUACUAUGAAUAGAAUCACUGCUUUCGUUUUGUGAAACGUUGGAGUAAUUAUUAGACUUUACUUCUUACAACAGAAUAAUAAUUAGGGAAUAGAAAAAAUGCUGAAAGAUUCAAAAAAAAUUUCCUCAGAAAAAAGAUAAAUGUUUUGUUGGCGCGAGAGAGGUG